rnacentral:ncRNA from 1 species
AAUAUUAAGAACAUGAUGUUGGUUCAGAUUAAACGCUAAAUAAGGACAUGACACAUGCAAAUUAAACGUUUAUUAUAAAUAUUAUAAUAAAUAUGUAGUGUAUACGUGAGUAAUUUAUAAGGAAUUUAGAACUAUAGAAUAAGUUAAAUGCUUAAUAAAUAUAUAUAUAUAUAUAUAUUAAAGAAUAUUCGAUAGUUCCACACCCCCCGAAGGGGGGGGUGGGGCGUCGUUAGAAGAAUAUUUGUCUAUAGUCAAGCCUAUAAUGGUUUAGGUAGUAGGUUUAUUAAAAGUUAAACCUAGCCUUCGAUCCAUAGUUAAUAAUUAAAGUUAUAAUGACCACGUUGACUUUGAAAUAUAGUCAAUAUCUAAAUGAUACAGCAGUGAGGAAUAUUGAACAAUGAUCGAAAGAUUGAUUCAGUUACUUAUUAGGAUGAUAUAUACUAAUUAAUUAUAUAUUAUAUAUAUAAUAAAUAUAAAUAUGUAAAUUGAUUAAAAAUAAAAUCCAUAAAUAGUGAAAAUAAUGAUAUUAACUACCAUAAAUAUUAUUAUGGGUAUAAUAUAUUUUAUAUAUUAUAUUUUAAUAGUCCUAACCAAAAUUUGUGCCAGCAGCUGCGGUAAUACAAUGGGGGCUAGCGUUAAUCAUAAUGGCUUAAAGGGUCCGUAGAAUUAUUUAUAUAUAUAAUCCUAAUAAUAGGAUAAUAAUUAGAGUUAAUAGAUUUAAUUAAAGAAUUAUAAUAGUAAAGAUGAAAUAAUUAUAAUAAUUAUAAGACUUAUAUAUGUGAAAAUAUUAAUUAAAUAUUAACUGACAUUGAUGGACGAAAGCUAGAGUAGCAAUACGGAUUCGAUACCCGAGUAGUUCUAGCUGUAAACUAUGAACACCAUAAUUUAUUAAAGAUAUAAUAAAUUAUAAAUGAAAAUGUAAGUGUUCCGCCUGAAGAGUACGUUCGCAAGAAUGAAACUCAAGACAAUAGACGGUUACAGACUUAAGCAGUGGAGCAUGUUAUUUAAUUCGAUAAUCCGCGACUAAUCUUACCAUAUUUUGAAUAUAAUAAUUAAUUAAUUAUACAGGCGUUACAUCGUUGUCUUCAGUUCGUGCCGCAAGGUCUUAGAUUAAGUUCAUUAACGAACAUAACUCCAUAUAUAUAAUAUUUAAUUAUAUAUAAUAUUUAUAUUAUCAUAUAAAAUGAAAGGAAUUAAGACAAAUCAUGAUGAUCCUUAUAAUAUGGGUAAUAGACGUGCUAUAAUAAAAUAAUAAUAAAGUUAUAUAAUAACCCUUAUCAAGUUAUAAUUAAUAACAUAAAAUAUUUUAAUCUUUAAUAUAUAUAUAUAUUAUAUAUAAUAUGAAUUAUAAUCUGAAAUUCGAUUAUAUGAAAAAAGAAUUGCUAGUAAUACGUAAAUUAUUAUGUUACGGUGAAUAUUCUAACUGUUUCGCACUAAUCACUCAUCACGCGUCGAAACAUAAUAUUAUCCUAAUAUAUAUAUAUAAUAUAUUUUAGAUAAAUAUAUUAUAUCUUAUAUAGAAGAAAUAUAAUGAAUUGAUGCGAAGUUGAAAUACAGUUACCGUAGGGGAACCUGCGGUGGGCUUAUAAUUAUC